UUUGAGCAAUAGAUAAUUAUGGAUUCCAGGCCAGCGUUGACCUGACCUGUAGCCCGGACUAGAAAUUACGGGAAUCGACACUGCCAAUGAGGCAACCAAUAUUGGGAAUGACAAAGCAGAGCAGCAGUUGACGGAAAUUCAGAGCUCUAUUGUCAGUUUUACUGAGGAAUGAUAAUAAUUUGGGGUGUGGCUUCCUGGUAAAGAGGUGUGUAACCACACUGAGGAUGACAUAAGAGAUAUUUAGAGGUGUAGCCCGGUACACAAAGAAGAUAACAACAUAUGGCAGAAAAGCAGUUAUUCCCAAUGACGGAACUUCAUCAGACUUAGAUCUCUGCCCCUCAAGUAUGAAGACUGAUGUGAUUUGUGCCCCAGCACGGCUACAGGAGGGGGUAUUCUUUAGGAGUCCUCACCUGCUGACUGCUUACACUCCCCCCAACCCAAGCUUUGCCUCCAGAAGUUACACCAGUGGUUAUACCUACAAUUGAUACAAGCUGCAUGUAUUUACAAUUGUGUCUAAAAGAAUUGUUGCGUGGUA